rnacentral:tRNA from 1 species
AGAAAGAUAAGCUAAAAAAGCUUAUGGGCUCAUACCCCAUCCAUGAAAAAAAUUCUCUUUCUA